GCACUCACUUCAGCAGCACAUAUACUAAAGUUGGAAUGAUACAGAGAAGGUUAGCACGGCCCCUGCUCAAGGAUAAGACGCAAAUUAGUGAAGCGUUCCAUACUUUU